CUAAUGUAGACCCUAUUACUGAGGGUGGUUCUAGAGAAACAGAAUUUUAAGAAUGAGGUUUCUAUAUUGGUUCUUGGAUUUUUGGAACUGACUUUCUAAUCUGAUUAGGUUUGAGGAUGUGAAGACUAUUUUCAGUAGUAAAGAGAGCAUUGCUGUUCCUUGGCAUUAACUGCUGAGAUAUUAUAUGAACUACCUACAUACAGCAUUUUUAGUCAACCACUUAUAAGAAGCAAAGAGCUGGGUGACUGUGUUUAAUACUUUCAAGCAUUUUUGGAAAAAUAACAAAUACAGUGAGAUUAACUGACUGCUACUAAUGUGACUGAAAAAGCAGUGAAAGAAAAAAAUGAUCACAAAGAUUCAAACUUCAAGCUCAAGUAUGACAUAAAUGACCUGAUGAUAUCCAUGUGUGCACUGAAAAAGACCCUUAUCUGCUGUAGCCAGAAGGCUGAAAUUGCUGAAAAUCAGAUGAAGAAUCUCAUCCUGUAACUGGCUGAAUUACAAUGGAAAUUGAACUCCAGUAUUGAUUAGGAAAAAAUGGGAUCCUGUUAAUUGGGAUGGUAAUCUGUGGGAAAACACUGAUGAAGCUGGGAACAUCAGUCUGCUAAAUUCUGAGUCUUUUCUGCCAGUGAGAAAUGUGCCCCUACCUGCAGGAAGAGUGACCUCCCAUUCCAUGUCCUCCCAACUCCCAGCAGUAUCAGUCUUUCCAUCCUUUUCUUGUCUGAGGAAAUGAACCCUGCAUUGCCUACGGAACCCAUAAUGACCUUCUCUGAGGUAGUUGCCAUUAAAAGACAUUGCUGAUUGUCUUCAGGAUAAGCCCCCACCAGCCCUAUUUCUUCUAGACCUGUAACUACUCACAAAUCUCAGCAGAUCUCCAAAGGUGAGAUACAAAGUAUAACUGAUGAGGAAUUAUCUUACACUCCAAAAAAGUUACUUGAGUUUUCUAAUUUCUACAAAAAGAAAUCCAGGGAACAUGUAUGUAGAAAUGGAUACUAAGAGUAUGGGAUAAUGUGGGAAACAACAUAUAGUUAGAUUAGGUCAAAUUUAAGAUAAAAGAUCACUAAGCAGAGAUUUUGCAUUUAAUGUUGAUGUUGGGGGAAAUUAAAAAGGAUUCUAACAGUUUUGUUGGUUGGUUGGCUAAAACAUGGACCAAAACAUAGCCUGCAAUGAGCAAAUUAGAAAUGCCAGACCAGCCUUGGUUUAAUGUAGAGAAAGGAAUUUAACAGCUUCAGAAGAUUCGAGUGUUAGAGGAGAUUUUGUCAUUGAAGAUCUACUCAUUUACACUGGAAGGGUCCAGAAGACAUACAUUUCUCUACUAGUAUGAGAACCAAAUUUGUGAGGGGAGCCCUGGUAUUUUGGAAUUAUUUUGUGAUCACUCUUUUAGGCAAGACCUGGGAGUGGGAACUACAGCCAGUAAAUCAGGAAUCCUAAAUUUGAUGGGAGUAAUUGAUUCCAGCGUGGAAGGAUUAAAGCAGUGGCACUCAGUCAUCAAAGGAAAGCUGCCUGCACCUGUGUCUUACUGAAGAGCUUCUUAAUAUCAGUAACGAGUCAAGAGAAAACUCUGGGCUGGUUUACAGAUGGUUCUGUAAGAUAUGCUGACAUCACCCAAAAGUAGACAGCUGAAGGAUUACAGCCUGUUUCUGGGACAUCCCUGAAGAGCAAUGGCAUGAUGACUCAAAAGGCAAAGAAGAGAGUUACUGUGCUGACUGGGGUGAUUGACCCUGACUACCAACACACAGUUGGACUACUGUUCUGCAAUGCAGGCAAGGAAGAAUAUGGCUGGAACAUAGGAGAUCUCUUACAGUGUCUUUUAAUGUUACCAUAUCCAGUGAUUAAGGUCAGUGGAAAACUACAACAACCCAGCCCAGAAAGUUUGGGUCACCCUACCAAGUAAAGAACCACAACCAGCUGAGGUGCUUGCUGAAGGUAAAAGGAAUACAGAAUGGGUGGUGGAAGAAGGUAGUAAUAAGUACCAGCUGUGACUUUGUGGUCAAUUACGGAAGUGUAAUUGCCAUGAGUAUUUGCUCCUUCUUUUGUUAUGUACAUUGUAUGUAUGUAUAUGCAAAUCUUUGUUUUCUCUCAUUUCUUUAUCAUGCAACAUGAUAUGUUUUGACUUUAUGUUGUAGUAUUUAAGUAUUAUUAAUUUUAUAUAAGAAUGUUUCAGUUACAGGAUUUUAAAGAAGAGUAGUUAUCACUCAAGGACUUUAUCAUCUCUUCUGGGAAAGGGUUUAGUACAGUUUUGGGCAAAAACAUGAUAGUUGUAUUAUAUUAGGCAGAAUUAUGGCCUUAUUGUUGCAUUUAUUUGGAGAUUAUGGUUUAAGGAGUUGUUUUGGGGUACCAAGUUGACAAGAAAUGGACUUGUGAUGGUUAAUUUUAUGCAUCAAAUUGAAAAGGACAGACAUCUAGUUAAACAUUAUUUCUGGGUGUGUCUCUGAGAGUGUUUCUGGAAGAAAUUAGAACUUGAAUCAGUGGACUGAGUGAAGCAGAUUGCCUUUCCCAAUGUGGGUGGUCAUGAUCCAAUCUGAGUGCCUGAAUGGAACAAAAAAGUAGAGGAGGAAAGAAUUCACUCUUUCUGUCGGGCUGUUUGACCUGGCAUGUCAGUCUUCUUCUGUCCUUGGACUGGGACUUACAUAAGUACUAUUGGUUCUCAGGCCUUUGGAUUUGAAUGGGAAUUUACACCAUCAGUUCUCCUGAUUCUCAGGCCUUUAAAGUCAGACUGAAAUAUACCACUGGCUGUCCUGGGUCCCUAGCUUGUGGAUAGCAAAUUAUGAUUAUAGUACUCCAUAAUCUCAUGAGCGAAUUUCUUAUAAUAACUCUAUAUAAUUGUGUAUGUGUGUGUCGGGGGGUGAGUGGGUGGAUGGGUGUCUCAUCCUAUGAGUUCUUUUUCACUGAAAAAUGCUGUUGAAUACAAUGUCCAGUAGGUGAAUUGAUACGCUGUGGUACAUCCACAGAAUACAAUAUUAUUCAGUGCUAAAAAUAAAUGAGCUAUCAAGUCAUGAAUAGACAUGGAAAAACACUAAAUGUAUAUUACUAAGUAAAAUAAACCAAUCUGAAAAAAAAAAGACUACAAACCAUAUGAUUCCAACUAUAUGACAUUCUGGAAAAGGCAGAAGUGUGGAGACAGUAAAAAGAUGCCCCCACCCCUAAAAUUAAGGGGAAGAAGGGAUCAAUUGGAUUAACACAGAGGAUUUUUAGGGUAAACUAUUCUACAUGAUACUACAAUAAUGGAUACAUGUCAUUAUACAUUUCUCAAUAUCUAUAGAAUAUAGAGCACUUACAGUGAACUCUAAUGUAAACAAUGGGCUUUGGGUAAUAAUGAUGAGUCAGUGUAGUUCAUCGGCUCUCUGAUUGUAACAGAUGCACCUCUGUAGUGUCAGAUGCCCACAGUGAGAGAAGCUGUGCAUUUAUGGGGGCAGGGCUACAUGAAAAUCUUCUAUUCAAUUUUUCUGUGUGGCUAAAACUUCUUUAAAAAAAUAAAGUAUGUUUAAAUAGAUGAAUGUUAGGUUAUCUGGGGUUCACAAUGGAGGUGACCACAUCCUUUGACACCUUAGUAUUCAAAUUGCAUAUUCAGUUAUUGGCCACUUUGACAUGACAGUAUGAUAACAAAAUCAAUCUUGUCAUAUUAAUUCUAUCAAAUUAUUUAAUUUUCAGGCAAUAGUAAAAAAUAUAUCCUAUGAACAAAGUUAGUUUAGAGAAGAACAGGGAAUUACAACAUUUAAAAUCAAUAUUAAUGGCACUGAACUCACAUUACAGAACAUUAGCAUAUAUCUAUAGUUAAAAACA